AUUGAACGCUGGCGGCAUGCCUUACACAUGCAAGUCGAACGGCAGCACGGGAGCAAUCCUGGUGGCGAGUGGCGAACGGGUGAGUAAAGUAUCGGAACGUGCCCAGUCGUGGGGGAUAACGUAGCGAAAGUUACGCUAAUACCGCAUACGAUCUAUGGAUGAAAGCGGGGGAUCGCAAGACCUCGCGCGAUUGGAGCGGCCGAUAUCAGGUUAGGUAGUUGGUGGGGUAAAGGCUCACCAAGCCGACGAUCUGUAGCUGGUCUGAGAGGACGACCAGCCACACUGGGACUGAGACACGGCCCAGACUCCUACGGGAGGCAGCAGUGGGGAAUUUUGGACAAUGGGCGCAAGCCUGAUCCAGCCAUGCCGCGUGCAGGAUAAAGGCCUUCGGGUUGUAAACUGCUUUUGUACGGAACGAAAAGGUUUGACUUAAUACGUUGGACUCAUGACGGUACCGUAAGAAUAAGCACCGGCUAACUACGUGCCAGCCGCCGCAGUAA
rnacentral:rRNA from 1 species